GAAGAGCCCAAGAUUGAAAGCUGGCGUCUUCGGCGUCCGCAUUGUAAUCUCAAGAAGUGUUUUUCGCUUCGGACCAUGCCUAAGUCCCUUGGAAAAGGGCAUCAUAGAGGGUGAUAAUCCCGUACAUGGCAUGGAGCGCCCGUAGCUUUGUGAUACGCUUUCUAAGAGUCGAGUUGUUUGGGAAUGCAGCUCAAAAUGGGUGGUAAAUGCCAUCUAAGGCUAAAUAUUGGGGAGAGACCGAUAGCGAACAAGUACAGUGAUGGAAAGAUGAAAAGAACUUUGAAAAGAGAGUUAAACAGUACGUGAAAUUGCCAAAAGGGAAGGGUAGGAGGUCAGAGAUGCGUCUUGGGAUUCAGCCUUGCUUUUGCCUGGUGUUUUUCCCAAGCUGCAGGCCAACGUCGGUUUUGGGCACUGGAGAAGGGUAGGAGGAACGUGGCACCUCUCGGGGUGUGUUAUAGCCUCCUACUGGAUACAGCGACCGAGACCGAGGAACGCAGCGUACUCGUAAGAGCGGGCCUUUUGGCACCUUUACGCUUAGGGCGUUGGCAUAAUGGCCCUCUACCACCCGUCUU
rnacentral:rRNA from 1 species